rnacentral:rRNA from 1 species
CCUACGGGUGGCUGCAGUAGGGAAUCUUCCACAAUGGACGAAAGUCUGAUGGAGCAACGCCGCGUGUGUGAUGAAGGGUUUCGGCUCGUAAAACACUGUCGUAAGAGAAGAAUGACAUUGAGAGCAACUGUUCAGUGUGGGACGGUAUCUUACCAGAAACGAACGGCUAAAUACGGGCCAGAAGCCUCGGUAAUACGUAUGUUCCAAGCGCGAUCCGGAAUUAUUGGGCGUAAAGCGAGCGCAGGCGGUGUGUUAAGUCAGAGGUGAAAGCCCAGAGCUUAACUGUGGAAGUGCUUUGGAAACUGGAUGACUUGAGUGCAGGAGAGGGGAGUGGAACUCCAUGUGUAGCGGUGAAAUGCGUAGAUAUAUGGAAGAACACCAGUGGCGAAGGCGGCUCUCUGGACUGUAACUGACGUUGAGGCUCGAAAGUGUGGGUAGCAAACAGGAUUAGAUACCCUAGUAGUC